GGGUCCUUAGCUCAGCUGGUAGAGCGCGUCGUUCGCAAUGACGAGGUCAGGAGUUCGACUCUCCUAGGAUCCACCA
rnacentral:tRNA from 1 species